AGGAUCCAAGCGUUAUCCGGAAUCAUUGGGUUUAAAGGGUCCGUAGGCGGCAUUAUAAGUCAGCGGUGAAAGUUUUUGGCUUAACCAAAAAAUUGCCGUUGAUACUGUAGGGCUUGAAUUUUUGUGAAGUAACUAGAAUAUGUAGUGUAGCGGUGAAAUGCUUAGAUAUUACAUGGAAUACCAAUUGCGAAGGCAGGUUACUAACAAACGAUUGACGCUGAUGGACGAAAGCGUGGGUGGCGA
rnacentral:rRNA from 1 species